CGCUCUUUGUAAAAUUGUUAACGUAUAAAGAGUCCUGCCUGCCCAGUGACGUUGUUAAACGGCCGCGGUAUCUUGACCGUGCAAAGGUAGCAUAAUCAUUUGCCCUUUAAAUGGGGGCUGGUAUGAAUGGCAAGACGGAGGCUAAGCUGUCUCUUUCUUAUAUCUUGAAUUUAAUAUUUUUGUGAAGAAGCAGAAAUAUGUCCGCAGGACGAGAAGACCCUAUCGAGCUUAAACACAGAAAGUAUUAACAAACUUGUCGGGCUUUGUUCCUAAUUUAAUUAAGAUUUAAUUAUUCUAAGAUUAAUUACUUUGGCCCAAAAAUGUUAAGUGCAGCUGUUUUGAUUGGGGCAAUCGUGGAGAAGAAAAUCCUCCAUUAAAAAAUAAAAAAAACUACAGUUUUGUUGGUUAAAUUAAAUGAUCCGCCGUAUGGCGAGCAAAGGAAUAAGUUACCGUAGGGAUAACAGCGUAAUUUUUUUGGAGAGUUCAUAUUGAUAAAAAAGUUUGCGACCUCGAUGUUGGAUCGGGAUUUCCUGGGGAUGCAGCAGUUCCUAAGGGUUGGUCUGUUCGACCAUUAAAAUCCU
rnacentral:rRNA from 1 species